rnacentral:rRNA from 1 species
CCUACGGGAGGCAGCAGUGGGGAAUAUUGGUCAAUGGGCGCAAGCCUGACCCAGCCACGCCGCGUGAAGGAAGAAGGCUUUCGGGUUGUAAACUUCUUUUAUCAGGGACGAAACAAGUGACGGUACCUGCUGAAUAAGCCACGGCUAACUACGUGCCAGCAGCCGCGGUAAUCCGUAGGUGGCAAGCGUUAUCCGGAUUUACUGGUUGUACAGGGCGUGUAGGCGGGAGUGCAAGUCAGAUGUGAAAACUAUGGGCUCAACCCAUAGACUGCAUUUGAAACUGUACUUCUUGAGUGCUGGAGAGGCAAUCGGAAUGCGGGGUGUAGCGGUGAAAUGCAUAGAUAUCCGGAGGAACACCAGUGGCGAAGGCAGAUUGCUGGACAGUAACUGACGCUGAGGCGCGAAAGCGUGGGGAGCAAACAGGAUUAGAUACCCUAGUAGUC